GGAAGAAAAGUGAUCUGAUUGCCACAUCUAUCACUUUAUCAAUCAACAGGAUUGAUUCAGCUAAUCUAGCUGACUAAGCAGGUAUCCCAUGCCUUUCUCAUUUCUCCAUGUGUAUCUCUUCAGAAUUUGUUCACUCAAAGAGGAAUAAAAAUAGAUACUGAUGAUUCUUUAAUCAAAUUUUAUAUAACCAGCUAUGAUCCUUUGCUAGAACCCCCAAACAAUCUCUCAAGUAGAAUUUGCGAAUCCCUGCUAUGAAUCUGUGCUUCUCAACCCUAGC
rnacentral:snRNA from 1 species